CAGCUUAAUCCUCAUUAUGGUCCGCCAUGGUUGCUGUUUUUCUUCUCAGCUUGUGUGUAUCAGGACGCAGAAUAGUGACGUUUGUCGAGUAUCAAUGACGUUCAAGUUGGAUGAACGAGACUUGGCCGUUCAGAUUCAGAUCACAUUUCAACAUUUCAGAUCGGAUAUCCCAGUGGCCUGGGUCGCAUUAUAAAAUAUCUAAUCCGUGUUGUUUAGACUGUCAUGAGAAGAUCCGAUAAGGAAGAAAAAUUUUAUAUUUAUAUGAAAACAAUAAAUUAGAAUUGGGUAACUUCAGGCUGCAGUGUUGACAUAGUCUAAAACUCUUCCUAUUUAUGUCUCUCUGUGGUCAAGUUUCAUCAGAUACGGAUUUGUAAAAUGUGAACGCCAACAGGCCUGGGUUCACUCAGCUGAAACAUUAAUGAAAGUUCAGAAUUACGCAACAACCUGGACCGGAUCCACCGCUCGGCCACUGGAGGCCUCAACACUGACUCACACACCGCCUCAUUAUCCGAAGAUGAAAGCGGGCGAACGGUAAUUAUCUCUGCUAAUUAAAGUGGAAAUCCUCAGAGUGUGACAGAAAGGAAUCACAGUGGAGAUUUUAGAUUAUUUUUCUCCCGGAUUUACAGAACAGCAGUUUACAUAAUUGUCUUAAAGGCUCAGGAAACAAUGUUAUAAAUAAAAAUAACUGGCUCAACACUGUGACUGGACGUUUAUGCCACUAAUCUGGAUUUAAGCACCAUGUUUAUCUGGACCUUCUGGAAAGAAAACAAGCCACAUCUUUCAGUUUUUGUGCCGUUUUAUUUGUUCCUCUUCAGUUGUCUUGAAAAAUCAAAAACAAUUUCUACAGACAGAUAAAUUAUGGCUCUGAUACAGUAAAGAUUGGAGACUUUGUUUGAUCUUCUCAUUGUCAUCCUAACGUUGGGCCGAGUCUGAAUCCCCAUCAAAGCUGCUGCUGUUGUGCAAAACUCAUUUAUGAAGAUUAUCUUGAGGAUUUCCAGCAGGUGGCGCUGUUGUGUGGACAGUACCUGACAUUACUAGUGUUAUUCGUUUGUGUGUUAGUGUUAUUCUUUUAUACAUCAGGUGACACAGGAAAUGAAUGUCAGCACUUAGAGCAUGGGUGUCCAAAGUGCGGCCCGUGGGCCAUUUGCGGUCCUUGGAGUAGUUUUGUGAGGCUCCUGGAUGCAGUUUGGUCAUGGUUUACUCCAGCAAAUGGAGCUGAUCCAGAUUUAUUUUUUUUGUGUGUGAUUUUCAGUAACAAAUUUAAACUUUAAGUAAUAAAUUUUAAGUACAAAAUAAGUGUUUAUUUUUUAUUUUUGCUUUAUUUUAAUGAGAAAGUGAGCAGAGCCACAAAUCUCCGACUUUUUACUCUAAAACGACUUUUUACUCUAAAACGCAUUUUAUUGCACCCAAUAACUAAAAUGGGAUAAAUACAGUUUAUCAAAGAUAAUUCUAAUUUUUGUUGCUGGAAUAAACUAAAACUGAUUUCUUGACCCACAAGUUUUGAAACUGUACAACUUUGAGACACUUUUUUAAAAAUAAAAUCAUGUUAAUUUGUUGCUGAGUAGAUAAAAAGAAAAUAAUUUGCCAAAUAAUUAUUUAACAUUUUGGAAUAUUUUGGUUAUGCUGUUAUAUUUCUGCAGUAUAUGAUAUAAAUUUGAAAAAUGUAAAUAAUAAAACAAAUAUUUAACAUUUUUAAAUAAAAUAAAAACAACUAAUAAAUUGUGGCCGCCGUGUGCUUUCAAUUUGGUGAUUUUGUGCUAAACGUCUGGACGCCGCUCACUUAGAGGAUAGUCCUGCAUUAUUUUUUAAAAAGUGGGGUUAUUUGGAGCGCUAUAAGUGGUCAGCAUCUUUCGUAGAUUUGAUGAAAUCUCUUAAAACUUUCAUUUUGGAUUCAUAUGAAAUGAAUUUCUUCCAAUCUGCUGAACUUAUCAGUCAAUCUCACUGGAGCUGAAAAAAAAGUAAAUAUUUUUCAACUCAAAUGAACUCAUAAGCAGUUUGAACGCCAUUUUAUAAACCUUAGAAGGCCAUUAAGUUUACAUAAGACAGUUACUGAAACACAUUCAUGAUUAUUUACACUGAAGACGCAUCUGCUCAGACCGGGACUGCAAAUGGCUGCUUGGAAAUAUAAAACCUUGAAAAAAGUUAUAAUCAUUGUUCAUGUCUGAGAUUCAAAAGUGAAAUAAAUUGUGAAAAGAAUUGUGCUCUAUUAAAAUAAAGCAAAUCCAUAAAAGACGUUUGGAAACCCAACGGACUGACAGUAUGUCAGGGUUUGUCAAAGUUUCAACUUUUAUUUCCAUUUUUUUUUUCUCAAAUUUCUAAGAUUAAAUUUAGAAUUUGCUUUUUUUCUAGCAAAUUUUCAUACUCAGAAAAUUCUACAAUUUUUCUAGAAAAUUUGCAAGAUUUUUUGACAGAUGUACUCUUUUUUUAUAUAUAUAUCUACGGUGGCUGUAAUACGCUAUUUAAUCUAUUAUAAGACAUGUUCCCCAUGUUAAUAGUGAAAUAAUCUGCUAAUAGAACCGUUUUUUUUUCAAUCAAUAUUAAGAAAUUAAUUUAAAACAAACUCUUAUAUCUUGCUUAGAAGUAACUGGUAAGUUAGUUUUCUCUUAUUUCAAGUAUAUUAAGAUAUUUGCACCAGAAACUGGAUAAAAAAUACUUGGUAAUGGGCGUGCUGUGGUGGUGUAGGGGAUAGCGCGACCCACGUUUGGAGGCCUUGAGUCCUUGGCCCAGCCGUCGCGGGUUCAAUUCCCGGACACUUGCCGCAUGUCUUCCCCCCUCUCCCUCCAUCUUUCCUCUCAGCCUAUUGUCAUAUAAGGGACACUAGAGCCCACAAAAAAGACCCCUGGUGGUGGAAAAAAAUACUUGGUAAGAUUUUGUAUUUUUGCAGUGUUUGUGUGUUUUCGACAGACAGCUCCUGCAUCGUGACUCUGGGUUUCAAACUAAAUAUGGAAAACUACAGAAUAGCCCUUUUAAUUGAGCUUUAUGGGGAUUCUGACCUGGACACAACAACACAACUGCAACAUUUUCAGCCAGUAAACAUUAAAUUAUUAAACUUACGCCUGUUUUUCUGAUGCAAAGCGGCUUAUGUUUACAUUUUGUUACACCUGCUGAUCAAAAUAUCUAGUAAUAACAGUUCACCUCUAAGUUGUAUUCAAAUUAAAUGGAGUUUCGACUGAAAAUGCUGCAGCUCGUCAUUUCCAUCAGACGGUAAAACAAGUCUUAAGCCUUAGAAACAGUUUAAGGCCAGCAGUACCUUAAAAACAAU